UGCCGGGCCCUGUGCGCUGGAUUCGCGUUAACCGAGUCAGAUGGGGAACCAAGCAGCUAAGUACGAUGAACCAGGCGCCGCAGGUGUUCCUGUCAGGG
rnacentral:SRP_RNA from 2 species